UACGUAGGGUGCGAGCGUUGUCCGGAAUUAUUGGGCGUAAAGAGCUCGUAGGCGGUGUGUCGCGUCGACCGUGAAAACCUGCAGCUUAACUGUGGGCGUGCGGUCGAUACGGGCAUCACUGGAGUUCGGCAGGGGAGACUGGAAUUCCUGGUGUAGCGGUGAAAUGCGCAGAUAUCAGGAGGAACACCGGUGGCGAAGGCGGGUCUCUGGGCCGAUACUGACGCUGAGGAGCGAAAGCGUGGGGAGCAAACAGG
rnacentral:rRNA from 1 species